UACGGGGGGUGCAAGCGUUGUUCGGAAUUACUGGGCGUAAAGGGCUCGUAGGUGGCCAACUAAGUCAGACGUGAAAUCCCCAGGCUCAACUUGGGAACUGCGUCUGAUACUGGAUGGCUUGAAUUCGGGAGAGGGAUGCAGAAUUCCAGGUGUAGCGGUGAAAUGCGUAGAUAUCUGGAGGAAUACCGGUGGCGAAGGCGGCAUCCUGGACCAAUACUGACACUGAGGAGCGAAAGCCAGGGGAGCAAACGGG
rnacentral:rRNA from 1 species